AGCAGCCGCCACGGUAAUACGUAGGUGGCAAGCGUUGUCCGGAAUUAUUGGGCGUAAAGGGCUCGCAGGCGGUUUCUUAAGUCUGAUGUGAAAGCCCCCGGCUCAACCGGGGAGGGUCAUUGGAAACUGGGAAACUUGAGUGCAGAAGAGGAGAGUGGAAUUCCACGUGUAGCGGUGAAAUGCGUAGAGAUGUGGAGGAACACCAGUGGCGAAGGCGACUCUCUGGUCUGUAACUGACGCUGAGGAGCGAAAGCGUGGGGAGCGAACAGGAUUAGAUACCCCCGUAGUCCCUGUCUCUUAUAA
rnacentral:rRNA from 1 species